ensembl:lncRNA
UAACCCCCCCCCCCGUUCCUUCCCCUUCCAGGACCCGUCCUUACCAUAGCAGUGAUACAGGACCCCCCCCCCCAUCCCUGUGACCUUCCAGGACCUUCCAUCCCAUUCAAUGCCCCUUUCCCCUUCCAGGACCUGUCCUUACCGUAGCAGUGAUAUCAGACCCCCCCCUGGCCCAGCCCCCCCCAUCCCUGUGACCUUCCAGGACCUUCCCCAGACAUUCCAAGGCUCUUUAUGGACCUGCCAGGACCUGACCAGCCAUUCCAAGGCUCUUUAUGGACCUGCCAGGACCUUCCCAACCCAACCCAUUGACUCUUUACCCUUCCAGGACCCUUAUAACCCAACCGAAGCAUCCCCUGCCCCUUUACCCUUCCAGGACCUUCCCAACCCCCCCCCCCCCCCAGCCUUUUUUGUGCCCUUCCAGGACCUUCCCAACCCAACCCAACCCAACCCAAGGCUCUUUAUGGACCUUCCAGAACCUGUCCUUACCAUAGCAGUGAUACAGGACCCACCUGGCCCAGCCCACCCCCAUCCCUGUGACCUUCCAGGACCUUCCCAACCCAUUCAAUGCCCCUUUCCUCCCUUCCAGGACCCUCCCCCCCCCAUUCCUUUCCCCUUCCAGGACCUUCCCAACCAUUCCAAUGCUCUUUAUGGACCUUCCAGGACCUUCCCAACCCAAUCCAGCCAUUCCCAACCCCAUUAUCCCCUGUUCCUUUCCCCUUCCAGGACCUUCCCAGCCAUUCCAAGGCUCUUUAUGGACCUUCCAGGACCUUCCCAAACCAUUCAAUGCACCCUUUCCCCUUUCCAGACCUGUCCUUACCAUAGCAGUGAUACAGACCCCACCUGGCCCAGCCCCCCCCCAUCCUGUGACCUUCCAGGACCUUUCCCAACCCAACCAGCCAUUCCAAGGCUCUUUAAUGGACCUUCCAGGAACCUUUCCCCCCCCCUUUUACCCUUCCAGGACCUUUCCUUACCAUAGCAGUGAUACAGGACCCCCCCCCUGGCCCAGCCCCCCCCCCAUCCCUGUGACCUUCCAGGACCUUCCCAACCCACUCAAUGCCCCUUUCCCCUUACAGACCCUCCCCCCUGUUCCUUUCCCCUUCCAGGACCUGUCCUUACCAUAGCAGUGAUACAGGACCCCCCCCCCAUCCUGUGACCUUCCAGGACCUUUCCCCCCCCCCUUUCCCCUUCCAGGACCUGUCCUUACCAUAGCAGUGAUACAGGACCCCCCCCUGGCCCAGCCCCCCCCCAUCCCUGUGACCUUCCAGGACCUUCCCAACCCAACCCAGCCAUUCCAAGGCUCUUUAUGGACCUUCCAGGACCUUUCCCCCCCCCCCUUUCCCCUUCCAGGACCCGUCCUUACCAUAGCAGUGAACAGGACCCCCCCCUGGCCCGCCCCCCCCCCCAUCCCUGUGACCUUCCAGGACCUUCCCAACCCAUUCAAUGCCCUUUCCCCUUCCAGGACCUCCCCCCCCAUUCUUUCCCUUCCAGGACCCUCCCCCCCUUGGUUUCCCCUUCCAGGACCCGUCCUUACCGUAGCAGUGAUACAGGACCCCCCCUGGCCCAGCCCCCCCCCAUCCCUGUGACCUUCAGGACCUUCCCAACCCACCCCAAUAACCCCAAGGACCCUUUAAGCUUCCAGACCUUCCAACCACCCAGCCAUUCCAAGGCUCUUUAACCUUCCAGGACCUUCCCAACCCCUCAUUCUUUUGCCCUUCCAGGACCUUCCAACCAUUCCAAUGCUCUUUAUGGACCACUGGAAGGUCACUGGGAUGGGGGUGGGGUCCUGUAUCACUGCUAUG